rnacentral:tRNA from 1 species
CGCAGGCAGGGCAACUGGCAAGCAGCGUGGUUCAUAACCACGAAAGACCGGUUCGAUUCCCGGGCUUGUAACCA